UUGGUAAGGCAGCUGCAGAUGUAUUGCAGUGAUGCCUUGAGGAAAGUGUGCCUCCGGAACCAGUGCUGGGAGCAAUUCCUAGUUAACCUGGCCUUUCUCUCAUGGAGGGCAGAAUAAACAGUGACCUUGCACUGACAGCCAGUACAUUUUUUCUUCCUCUCUGGGCCACACUAUGUCGUGCUGGAAUGGGAUAGGUAAAUCUGCAGAUAUUGUUCUUGAUGCAGAUUAGUGAAUUAACUGACAGUUUGUAUCAUUGAUCUUAUUUAAUUUGCUCUAUGAUAGUCACUCUAAUUUCACCUCCCCUCGGAACUUUGCUCCUACUCUUCAUUAUUGAUCAUCCAGAAAACUCCAUGUUUAAAUUCCCUAACCUGUGUUAGUAAGCCCACACUUGUUUCCCUCUCCCCCAACCCCUAAUUUCUGCCAGGAUCACACUCUCUGUGAUCCCCUUUUUCAUUUGUCCCUCCCAUUGAUCUCCGCCCCCCUCCCCGCCCCAGGAUUCAUCCCUGCAAGUGGCACAAGUGCUACACCUGCCCAUUCACCUCCUCCCUCACUACCAUUCAGGGUCCCAAACUGUCUUCCCAGGUGAGGCAACACCUCGCUGUGAGUCUGUCAGGGCCACUACUGUUUCCAGUGCUUCUCGUGCAACCUCUUCUUCAUCAGUGACCUGACAUAAAUUGGGGGACCACUUUGUCAAGCACCUCUGCUCCAUUCGCAGCAGCCCCACACAUUGCUGGGACCUGAGGAAUAGCAAGAGGUUGAACAGACUAGAGCUUUAUAGCUUGGAGCAUAGUAAGCCUCUGACGUUCCAGUGGGGAAAAACAUCCAGGUUUCUCCGAAGUCUCUUUAUAGCUAAUCUCCUGGCAACAUCCUGGUGAGCUUCUCCUACACCUUCUCCACAUGCUUCCUGUAAUGCAGCAACUAGAAGUACAUACAGUGCUCCAAAGGUGACCUGCCUAAAGUUUUCUUCAAUGGCAACAUGACUUCCCAACUGUAGUACUCAGUGCUCCAGUGGAUGAAGGAAAGAGUACCAUGCACCUUCUUCAUCAUCCUAUCUGCUUGGUCUUGCCACUAUCAGACUUGCUAUCAUGACUACCAGGUGGACUUAGAUAAAGUUUCAAGGAUCUACUCAAUGCUUUCUUGAAGGAGUGCAACAUCCCCUCUGGCUCCUGGGAAUCCCUGGCCCAUGACAUAUCAAAGCACAGAAGAAACACUUGGUUUGGUAUUGUAAACACUGAGGCCAUGCAUUGGGAAGCCCAGUGGAGCCAUAUAAAGAACAUACUAACUCACAGACUAACCACCCAUCAGUCAUCUCCUACCCCAUGUGUAGAAGUGUGUUGAGUUCCCACACUAGCCUCAUUAGCCUUCUCAGGACCCUCAAAACUGGAGUGGAAGCAAAAUACCCACACAAGAAAGAAAGUCACCUAAACAUUCUGAGAAAUGGUCUGGCAAACAGAUUUUUGAACCAAGCACUCUAGUCGAUAACAUCCCCUUCCUGACAGUGGUGCCAAGUUCUUGAACUCCUAAUUCUACCUCUCUUGGUUAUUUUGUUAUUGUUACUUCAGACUUGCUUUUUGUACUACAUCAGAUUGCACCAUUUUCUUUGCAUCAUUCUGUUUUGCCAUGUCACUGUAUACUGUACAUUGUUGGAUUUAUAAUUAUCACAUACACUCUUUAGAACAUAGAACAGUACAGCACAGGAAUAGGCCCUUCAGCCAACAACAUUGUGCCAAACCAGCCAAACAGUAAAUCUUAAAAAACAAACAUUAAUCCCUCCUACCUACACAAUGUCCAUAUCCCCCAUCUUCCUCAUUUUUAUGUGCUUACCUAAAUGUCUCUGAAAAGCCUCUAGUGCAUUUUCCUCUACCAUCAUACUGGCAGGGCAUCCCAGGCAUCCACCACUCUCUGAGUAAAAAAAUUCGCCCCUCAUAUCCCCUUUGAACCUCCCCCCUCGCCUUCAAUGCAUGCCCUCUGGAAUUCGACAUUUCUACCCUGGGAAAAAAAAGAUACUCCCUAUCUAUUCUGCCUAUGGCUCGCAUAAUCUUAUAAACCUCUAGUAGAUCUCCCCUCAGCUCAGCCUCCACCACUCCAGAGAAAACAGCCCAGGUUUGUCCAGCCUCUCAUGAUAGCACGUGGCAACUAAACCAGGCUGCAUCCUGGUAAACCUCUUCUGCACCCUCUCCAAAGCCUCAACAUCCUUUCUAUAGUGUGGUGACCAGAUGUGGACUAACCAGAGUUCUAUAAAGUUGCAACAUAACCUCUUGACUUUUGAACUCAUCGCCUCAGCUAAUAAAAGCAAGCAUUCCACAAGCCUACUUAACCACCUUAUCAAGCAUGCAAGUAAGGAAUUUCACUACAUCCUGGAGAAUACAACAAUAAAUUAAUUUGAAUCUCCAAACGUUGAAGUGUAAAUGCUUUGCUCCUCUGAUUGCUCAAUCUUAUUUAGUUCUACACAUUAUUUUAACUUUUAAUAGUGCAUGUCCUGAUUAUUCCUGGUGGCUGUCUGAUGAGCU